GACGAACGCUGGCGGCGUGCCUAAUACAUGCAAGUAGAACGCACAGUUUAUACCGUAGCUUGCUACACCAUAAACUGUGAGUUGCGAACGGGUGAGUAACGCGUAGGUAACCUGCCUGGUAGCGGGGGAUAACUAUUGGAAACGAUAGCUAAUACCGCAUAAUAUUGAUUAUUGCAUGAUAAUUGAUUGAAAGAUGCUAUUGCAUCACUACCAGAUGGACCUGCGUUGUAUUAGCUAGUAGGUGAGGUAACGGCUCACCUAGGCGACGAUACAUAGCCGACCUGAGAGGGUGAUCGGCCACACUGGGACUGGGACACGGCCCAGACUCCUACGGGAGGCAGCAGUAGGGAAUCUUCGGCAAUGGACGAAAGUCUGACCGAGCAACGCCGCGUGAGUGAAGAAGGUUUUCGGAUCGUAAAGCUCUGUUGUAAGGGAAGAACGGGUGUGAGAGUGGAAAGUUCACACUGUGACGGUAUCUUACCAGAAAGGGACGGCUAACUACGUG
rnacentral:rRNA from 1 species